GAACACCAGUGGCGAAGGCGGCUCUCUGGUCUGUAACUGACGCUGAGGCUCGAAAGCGUGGGGAGCGAACAGGAUUAGAUACCCUGGUAGUCCACGCCGUAAACGAUGAGUGCUAAGUGUUGGAGGGUUUCCGCCCUUCAGUGCUGCAGCAAACGCAUUAAGCACUCCGCCUGGGGAGUACGACCGCAAGGUUGAAACUCAAAGGAAUUGACGGGGGCCCGCACAAGCGGUGGAGCAUGUGGUUUAAUUCGAAGCAACGCGAAGAACCUUACCAGGUCUUGACAUCCUUUGACCACUCUAGAGAUAGAGCUUCCCCUUCGGGGGCAAAGUGACAGGUGGUGCAUGGUUGUCGUCAGCUCGUGUCGUGAGAUGUUGGGUUAAGUCCCGCAACGAGCGCAACCCUUAUUGUUAGUUGCCAUCAUUUAGUUGGGCACUCUAGCGAGACUGCCGGUGACAAACCGGAGGAAGGUGGGGAUGACGUCAAAUCAUCAUGCCCCUUAUGACCUGGGCUACACACGUGCUACAAUGGGAAGUACAACGAGUUGCGAAGUCGCGAGGCUAAGCUAAUCUCUUAAAGCUUCUCUCAGUUCGGAUUGUAGGCUGCAACUCGCCUACAUGAAGCCGGAAUCGCUAGUAAUCGCGGAUCAGCACGCCGCGGUGAAUACGUUCCCGGGCCUUGCACACAC
rnacentral:rRNA from 1 species